rnacentral:ncRNA from 2 species
GACGCCACGUCGGGAGAACCAGCUAGGCUGGUGCCGAAGGAGCAACCGCCCCGGAAACUCUCAGGCCAAACGGACCGACGUUGCUGA